AGGGUUUGAUUAUGGCUCAGAACGAACGCUGGCGGCGUGGAUAAGACAUGCAAGUCGAACGAGAGAAUUGCUAGCUUGCUAAUAAUUCUCUAGUGGCGCACGGGUGAGUAACACGUGAGUAACCUGCCCCCGAGAGCGGGAUAGCCCUGGGAAACUGGGAUUAAUACCGCAUAGUAUCGAAAGAUUAAAGCAGCAAUGCGCUUGGGGAUGGGCUCGCGGCCUAUUAGUUAGUUGGUGAGGUAACGGCUCACCAAGGCGAUGACGGGUAGCCGGUCUGAGAGGAUGUCCGGCCACACUGGAACUGAGACACGGUCCAG
rnacentral:rRNA from 1 species